rnacentral:rRNA from 1 species
CCCUGGUUGAUCCUGCCAGUAGUUAUAUGCUUGUCUCAAAGACUAAGCCAUGCAUGUCUCAGUGCAAGCCGUAUUAAGGCGAUACCGCGAAUGGCUCAAUAUAUCAGUUUUGGUUCCUUAGAUCUUACUCAGUUACUUGGAUAACUGUGGCAAUUCUAGAGCUAAUACAUGCAAUCAGAACUCUGACCAGUGAUGGAAUGAGUGCUUUUAUUAGAUCAAAACCAAUCGACGGAGGGCGUUCGCGUCCAAAGUCGUUCUUUUUGAUGAAUCUGGAUAACUUUUGCCGAUCGCACGGUCUCGUACCGGCGACGCAUCUUUCAAAUGUCUGCCUUAUCAACUUUCGAUGGUAGUUUCUGCGACUACCAUGGUUGUCACGGGUAACGGGGAAUCAGGGUUCGAUUCCGGAGAGGGAGCCUGAGAAACGGCUACCACAUCCAAGGAAGGCAGCAGGCGCGCAAAUUACCCACUCCCGGCACGGGGAGGUAGUGACGAAAAAUAACGAUACGGGACUCUUACGAGGCCUCGUAAUCGGAAUGAGUACACUUUAAAUAUUUUAACGAGGAACAAUUGGAGGGCAAGUCUGGUGCCAGCAGCCGCGGUAAUUCCAGCUCCAAUAGCGUAUACUAAAAUUGUUGCGGUUAAAAAGCUCGUAGUUGCAUUUGUGCGCCGCGCUGUCGGUGCACCGCAUCUGCGGUGAUACUGACACGUUUGCGGAGCAUAUCGUCGGUGAGCCACCGGUAAAACGGUGGUUCAAUAUCAAAAAUCCUAUCGCGGUGCUCUUCAGUGAGUGUCGAGAUGGGCCGACAAUUUUACUUUGAACAAAUUAGAGUGCUUAAAGCGGGCUCAAAUGCUGCUUGAAUAUUUCGUGCAUGGAAUAAUAGAAUAUGAUCUCGGUUCUAUUUUGUUGGUUUUCAGAACUCCGAGGUAAUGAUUAAUAGGGAUAACUGGGGGCAUUCGUAUUGCGACGUUAGAGGUGAAAUUCUUGGAUCGUCGCAAGACGAACAUCAGCGAAAGCAUUUGCCAAAGGUGUUUUCAUCAAUCAAGAACGAAAGUUAGAGGUUCGAAGGCGAUUAGAUACCGCCCUAGUUCUAACCGUAAAUAUGUCAUCUAGCGAUCCGCCGAUGUUACUACAAUGGCUCGGCGGGCAGCUUCCGGGAAACCAAAGAUUUUGGACUCCGGGGGGAGUAUGGUUGCAAAGCUGAAACUUAAAGGAAUUGACGGAAGGGCACCACCAGGAGUGGAGCCUGCGGCUUAAUUUGACUCAACACGGGAAAUCUCACCAGGCCCGGACACCGGAAGGAUUGACAGAUUAAUAGCUCUUUCUUGAUUCGGUGGGUGGUGGUGCAUGGCCGUUCUUAGUUGGUGGAGCGAUUUGUCUGGUUAAUUCCGGUAACGAACGAGACUCUAGCCUGCUAAAUAGGCGUCGUCAUUUAGGUGUGCGUGGCUUUUGUCGCGCAACUCACUGGCGACGUAUUAAAAUUCUUCUUAGAGGGACCGGCGGCUUCGAGCCGCACGAGAUUGAGCAAUAACAGGUCUGUGAUGCCCUUAGAUGUCCUGGGCCGCACGCGCGCUACACUGAAGGAAUCAGCAUGUUCUCCCUGGCCUAGAGGCCCGGGCAACCCGCUGAAACUCCUUCGUGCUGGGGAUUGGGGUUUGCAAUUAUCCCCCAUAAACGAGGAAUUCCUAGUAAGCGCGAGUCAUAAGCUCGCGUUGAUUACGUCCCUGCCCUUUGUACACACCGCCCGUCGCUACUACCGAUUGAAUGAUUUAGUGAGGUCUUCGGACCGACACGCGGUGGCUUCACGGCCGUCGGCGUUGCUGGGAAGUUGACCAAACUUGAUCAUUUAGAGGAAGUAAAAGUCGUAACAAGGUUUCCGUAGGGGAACCUGCGGAAG